GACAGAGGUCCCAAGCGUUAGGCGGAAUCACUGGGCUUAAAGCGUGUGUAGGCGGACGCCUAAGUGUCUUGUGAAAUCCCACGGCUCACCCGUGGAACUGCUGGGCAUACUGGGCGUCUUGGGCCAACUAGGGGCAGCCGGAACAAGCGGUGGAGCGGUGAAAUGCGUAGAUAUCGCUUGGAACGCCGAAGGUGAAAACAGGCUGCUGGGGUUGCGCCGACGCUGAGACACGAAAGCCAGGGGAGCAAACGGG
rnacentral:rRNA from 1 species